GCAGUUGCUGUAGGCAUGCAAGCGACUGUAGGCAUGCAAGCGUUAAAACUAAGGGCGAUUCAAAGUAAUCCGAAAAAGCACUUCCAUUCUCCACCAGCUGUUGUAAGAAGUCGAGAUGUAACAUGUCUCGUGCUCUAUAGUUGACCCUCGGUCUACCUUGGGUGAUAGAGUUAGUAGAACCUGGAGCGAAAAGUGGGCCAAGCAAAGAAUGUGAACUUGUUGAUUUUCUCCUGCGGUGUGGAUACCCAAAGUCUCGUAAACAAGUCACGUAAAUAAACAAGUCACGUAAACAAGUCAUGGGUAUUGUUCAGGUAAGUGAUGGGUGGUGGACCUGACGUCAUCAUCGCUCUUCUCUCAGUAGAGCACGUGCAGCUGCAUCAAAUAUCGACACACUCAAUGACUAUUUUGAUCUACUCGAGGAAACAAUUGAUACGUACGAUUUACGAGACCGUCGGACAUGGAUGAAUCUGGGAUGCCGCCAAAUCUCCCAAGGUAGUAGCUGACAGUAAGGCCAGAUUUCAUCCGGAGACAAAACACAAAUAACUGGUGUCCUCCAAUGGUAAUAUGGGACCGAAAAAACCGAAAAAAUUUGAACGUAGUACUCACCGAAGGGGAUGUGCCGGAGACAUGCUAUGUGCUGAGAUAUUUGACGGCUGGUUUUGUAAUCACUUUUUGAAAUAUGCCCCUAGCGAUAGACCACUGCUGCUGCGCCCGGACACAUUGUCGAACGGACACAUUGUCGAAAGCUGCAGAGCACAAAGUGAUUAUUUUUGCUCUACCCCCCAAUACUACCCAUUUCCGCUUGACAAGGGGUGCUUUGGACCCCUAAAAUCGCAUUGGAGGGACCGGUUCAUUAGUGAGAAUCCAGGGAAAGUGGUCACACGAUAUGAAGAAUGUUAUCGCUGGGUUUAAAACAACAGGUAUCUACCCUGUAGAUAUAGGGAUAUAGAUAGAAAUGCCAGCGUACUACUCUUACUACUCUUCCUUUUCUACCUAUGACCCCCCUAUUUCCUCUUCACAGCCUCAUCAUGUACGUGCUUACUAUCGGUACAAUCGUUGGCUCUCACUGAACCAUCCCGAUAAUCCAUUAAAUCCUAUUUUAUCCCAACAGCCACAUGAAGAUGACACCCAAGAGGUGCACAUACCGUGGCGAACACACGUAGCACACUGAGCAAGUUGUUGUCUGAGCAGCCAAAAAAAAAGAAGAGAGAUGAAGAUGUUCUAAAAAAGCUCAGAGCUAAGGAAGAGAGGGAGAAGAACUAAAAAACAGAUCGCUGUACAAAAGCCCCUUGCUAGCAAGUAUUCAGGACACAUCACAGACUGAGGAGGACUCCUAUGACGUACCUGUCAACAAGAUUGAUUCCUCCAGCUCCACAACACGUAGUGCAAGAGCUAAACGUCAAGCCUGUUUAUCUAAGAAGUCGGGGUCAGGUGUUGCCUCUAAGAGUUCCACUGUAGAAAAUGGCCAAGAGAGGGAGAAGAAGAAAAUUGAUAAAAAGGGCUCGCUGUACAAAAGUAGCAAGUAUUCAGGACACACCACAGACUGAGGAGUACAUGUAUGACUCCUAGACGUACCUAUCAACUCCAACUCCAGCUCUACAACACGUAGUGCAAGAACUAAACGUCAAGGUACUAAAAGUGUGUCAUAUGUACAUGUACGUGUACGCUUAUUUAUUGCAGACGCUUAUUUAUUGCAGCCAAGAAG